UACGUAGGUGGCAAGCGUUGUCCGGAUUUACUGGGUGUAAAGGGCGCGUAGGCGGGAUGGCAAGUCAGAUGUGAAAUCUAUGGGCUCAACUCAUAAACUGCAUUUGAAACUGUCGUUCUUGAGUAUCGGAGAGGCAAGCGGAAUUCCUAGUGUAGCGGUGAAAUGCGUAGAUAUUAGGAGGAACACCAGUGGCGAAGGCGGCUUGCUGGACGACAACUGACGCUGAGGCGCGAAAGCGUGGGGAG
rnacentral:rRNA from 1 species